UACAGAGGUCUCGAGCGUUGUUCGGAUUCAUUGGGCGUAAAGGGCGCGUAGGCGGCGGGGUAAGUCUGGUGUGAAAUCUCGGAGCUCAACGCCGAAAUUGCACUGGAUACUGCUCUGCUAGAGGGCUGGAGAGGAGAUCGGAAUUCACGGUGUAGCAGUGAAAUGCGUAGAUAUCGUGAGGAAGACCAGUGGCGAAGGCGGAUCUCUGGACAGCUCCUGACGCUGAGGCGCGAAGGCUAGGGGAGCAAACAGG
rnacentral:rRNA from 1 species